GAUGAACGCUGGCGGCGUGCCUAAUACAUGCAAGUCGAGCGAACGGACGAGAAGCUUGCUUCUCUGAUGUUAGCGGCGGACGGGUGAGUAACACGUGGAUAACCUACCUAUAAGACUGGGAUAACUUCGGGAAACCGGAGCUAAUACCGGAUAAUAUUUUGACCCGCAUGGUUCAAAAGUGAAAGACGGUCUUGCUGUCACUUAUAGAUGGAUCCGCGCUGCAUUAGCGAGUUGGUAAGGUAACGGCUUACCAAGGCAACGAUGCAUAGCCGACCUGAGAGGGUGAUCGGCCACACUGGAACUGAGACACGGUCCAGACUCCUACGGGAGGCAGCAGUAGGGAAUCUUCCGCAAUGGGCGAAAGCCUGACGGAGCAACGCCGCGUGAGUGAUGAAGGUCUUCGGAUCGUAAAACUCUGUUAUUAGGGAAGAACAUAUGUGUAAGUAACUGUGCACAUCUUGACGGUACCUAAUCAGAAAGCCACGGCUAGCUACGUG
rnacentral:rRNA from 1 species